rnacentral:rRNA from 1 species
AGAGUUUGAUCCUGGCUCAGAGUGAACGCUGGCGGUAGGCCUAACACAUGCAAGUCGAACGGCAGCACAGUAAGAGCUUGCUCUUACGGGUGGCGAGUGGCGGACGGGUGAGGAAUGCAUCGGAAUCUACUCUGUCGUGGGGGAUAACGUAGGGAAACUUACGCUAAUACCGCAUACGACCUACGGGUGAAAGCAGGGGAUCUUCGGACCUUGCGCGAUUGAAUGAGCCGAUGCCCGAUUAGCUAGUUGGCGGGGUAAGAGCCCACCAAGGCGACGAUCGGUAGCUGGUCUGAGAGGAUGAUCAGCCACACUGGAACUGAGACACGGUCCAGACUCCUACGGGAGGCAGCAGUGGGGAAUAUUGGACAAUGGGCGCAAGCCUGAUCCAGCCAUACCGCGUGGGUGAAGAAGGCCUUCGGGUUGUAGAGCCCUUUUGUUGGGAAAGAAAAGCAGUCGGUUAAUACCCGAUUGUUCUGACGGUACCCAAAGAAUAAGCACCGGCUAACUUCGUGCCAGCAGCCGCGGUAAUACGAAGGGUGCAAGCGUUACUCGGAAUUACUGGGCGUAAAGCGUGCGUAGGUGGUUGUUUAAGUCUGUCGUGAAAGCCCUGGGCUCAACCUGGGAAUUGCGAUGGAAAACUGGGGCGACUAGAGUGUGGCAGAGGGUAGUGGAAUUCCUGGGUGUAGCAGUGAAAUGCGUAGAGAUCAGGAGGAACAUCCGUGGCGAAGGCGACUGCCUGGGCCAACACUGACACUGAGGCACGAAAGCGUGGGGGAGCAAAACAGGAUUAGAUACCCUGGUANUCCACGCCCUAAACNAUGCGAACUGGAUGUUUGGUGCAUUUGGCNCNCA